rnacentral:rRNA from 1 species
GGCGACCGGCGCACGGGUGCGUAACACGUAUGUAACUUGCCUCUAACCGGGGGAUAGCCCAAAGAAAUUUGGAUUAAUACCCCAUAGUAUUACUGGUGCCUCAUGGCACUGUAAUUAAAACUCCGGUGGUUAGAGAUAGGCAUGCGUCUGAUUAGCUAGUUGGUAAGGUAACGGCUUACCAAGGCUACGAUCAGUAGGGGGCCUGAGAGGGUGAACCCCCACACUGGUACUGAGACACGGACCAGACUCC